rnacentral:rRNA from 1 species
GAUGAACGCUGGCGGCGUGCCUAAUACAUGCAAGUCGAGCGAACAGACGAGGAGCUUGCUCCUCUGACGUUAGCGGCGGACGGGUGAGUAACACGUGGAUAACCUACCUAUAAGACUGGGAUAACUUCGGGAAACCGGAUCUAAUACCGGAUAAUAUAUUGAACCGCAUGGUUCAAUAGUGAAAGACGGUUUUGCUGUCACUUAUAGAUGGAUCCGCGCCGCAUUAGCUAGUUGGUAAGGUAACGGCUUACCAAGGCAACGAUGCGUAGCCGACCUGAGAGGGUGAUCGGCGGCACUGGAGCUGAGACACGGUCAAGACUCCUACGGGAGGCAGCAGUAGGGAAUCGUCCGCAGUGGGCGAAAGCCUUACGGAGCAACGCCGCGUGAGUGAUGACGGUCUUCGGAUCGUAAAGCUCUGUUAUUAGGGAAGAACAAAUGUGUAAGUAACUAUACACGUCUUGACGGUAACUAAUCAGAAAGCAACGGCUAACUACGUG